rnacentral:rRNA from 1 species
AUGUGUGCUCAUGCAACUUCCGGUAAGCCUGUAUCUCGCACGCCACAAGCAAAGCUCGUCGUGCCAGCGCUGAUGGCCCUUCAGCUCAUCGUGGCAACAGUCGCCGCUGUCCCACUAGCCUUGCCUGGCUGCCCGGAGGCCUGCGGCAGGGUCAUCGUCCCCUACCCUUUCGGCUUCCGGCAAGGCUGCUUCCACGCGGGCUUCAACCUCACCUGCGACGAGACACGCCACCCUCCGAAGCUGCUCCUGGGCAACGGCGUGGAGGUGGAUGCCAUCUCCCUGGUGGAUGGCACGGUUCAUGUGCAGAGCAAGACCGUGAUUGCCACGCGGUCCGGCCCUAUGAGAAACAGCACGCGGAUGCCAUCUUUCAUCAACUCCAACGGCUCGUGGGUCAGCGGCCUAACGGGUACCGGCGGGCAGCAGCUCGCUCUGUCGUCCGAGCACAACGGCCCCGAGGAGUUCACCUCAUGCUCGGGCGUUGGCUGCUGCCAGACGAUGUUCAAGGAUUUGGUCGAUAGAGAGGCCGUGUACCAGGUGACGUUCAAGGAUUUGGACUAUACGGAUGCCAGUUACCAACCGUCGGAGUCAGUAGCCACGCUCAUAGUCGAUCGCGAGUGGUUCAACGGGAAUGCGGGGGUGAUGCUUAAUAACACCUUCGGUUCUUAUGACCACCAUUGGGGAAGUUUAAGCCCCGGAGCCGUACCCACCGUAUUAAUUUGGUGGCUGGAACAAGAGCGUGACCGUGAUAUAGUGUUCUAUGAUCCUAAUAUCUCUCACUGGAGAUGCCUAAGUUUGAACAGCGUCGUUACCUAUGUUAAUGGAUUUGCAAUAAGGUGCAGUUGCUUGGACGGAUACGAAGGCAAUCCUUACAUGCGUCACGGAUGCCAAGAUUCGAGGAUACGAGGGCAACCCCUUACAUCACUGAUGGGUGCCAAGAUAUCAACGAAUGCCUACAGCCAGGUGUUUAUCCCUGCCAUGGGACCUGCAUCAAUAUGCCAGGGACAUACCGAUGCUCAGCAAAGAAAAGAAUCAUCAACUUACCAAGUACGGAAAACACACUCAAUAAGGCUUUUGUUGGUGACAAUUACAAAGAGAAAAGUCCAUGUUUUGUUCAUCAACUAUUGUCUAAUUACCAUAAUAGCAAUUGCUGCUGGUUUUGGCCUACUUUCUUCAGUCCUAGGUGUUGCCCAAGUCACAAAAAAACUCAAGAAACGAAGAGCCAAGAAGUUCAGACAGAAGUUGUUCAAGAAAAACCAUGGAUUGCUUCUGCAACAGUUAAUCUCUUCGAACAAAGAUAUAGCUGAAAAGAUGAAAAUUUUCAGCUUACAAGAGCUAGAGCAAGCAACCAACAAGUUUGACCAUAACCGGAUCCUUGGCGGCGGUGGGCAUGGCACCGUGUAUAAGGGCAUCUUAUCUGAUCAACGUGUUGUGGCCAUCAAGAAGGCCAAAAUUGUAGUUCAAAGGGAAAUCGACCAAGAUAUCAAGUGCGCAAAUAUACUGCUUACUGAUACCUUAACAUCAAAAGUAUCAGAUUUUGGAGCUUCAAGGUCAAUUGCAAUUGAUGAGACUGGAAUACUAACAGCUGUCCAAGGAACCUAUGGUUACCUUGAUCCUAAAUAUUACUACACUAGUCGGUUCACGGAGAAAAGCGAUGUUUACAGCUUCGGUGUCAUCCUAGCAGAGUUACUGACAAGGGUGACAUCAGUUUUUUCUUCUCAUUCCUCAGAAGUCACAUGCUUAGCAUCACAUUUUGUGUCACUUAUAAGAGAUAGUCGAUUCUUCGAUAUUGUCGAUACACAAAUUGUUGAGGAGGGAGGGGCUGAAGAUGCCGAGGUAGUUGCAAGACUCGCGGAAACAUGCUUAAAUUUAAGAGGCGAAGAAAGGCCUACAAUGAGGCAAGUGGAGACAACACUUGAAGAUGUGCAGAGCUCAAGGGUCCAUCUCAAUUCUCAGAUUACAAGAGUGGACCAGAAUGCUAUAAAUGAUCAGUCAUACAAAGGAAGCAAAUGUGGCGAAGGAACUAGAUUGUACAGCUUGGAAAAGGAAUUUAUCCAGUCAUCUAAAAUUCCAAGAUGA